rnacentral:rRNA from 1 species
GAUGAACGCUGGCGGCGUGCCUAAUACAUGCAAGUCGAGCGAACGGAUGAGAAGCUUGCUCCUCUGAUGUUAGCGGCGGACGGGUGAGUAACACGUGGAUAACCUACCUAUAAGACUGGGAUAACUUCGGGAAACCGGAGCUAAUACCGGAUAAUAUUUUGAACCGCAUGGUUCAAAAGUGAAAGACGGUCUUGCUGUCACUUAUAGAUGGAUCCGCGCUGCAUUAGCUAGUUGGUAAGGUAACGGCUUACCAAGGCAACGAUGCAUAGCCGACCUGAGAGGGUGAUCGGCCACACUGGAACUGAGACACGGUCCAGACUCCUACGGGAGGCAGCAGUAGGGAAUCUUCCGCAAUGGGCGAAAGCCUGACGGAGCAACGCCGCGUGAGUGAUGAAGGUCUUCGGAUCGUAAAACUCUGUUAUUAGGGAAGAACAAAUGUGUAAGUAACUGUGCACAUCUUGACGGUACCUAAUCAGAAAGCCACGGCUAACUACGUG